rnacentral:rRNA from 1 species
UACGGGGGGGCGAGCGUUGUUCGGAAUUAUUGGGCGUAAAGGGCGCGUAGGCGGUCGGAUAAGUCUUGUGUGAAAUCUUCGGGCUCAACUCGAAGUCUGCACAGGAAACUAUCUGGCUUGAGUGUGGGAGAGGUGAGUGGAAUUCCUGGUGUAGCGGUGAAAUGCGUAGAUAUUACUUAGAACACCAAUUGCGAAGGCAGGUUACUAAGCAACAACUGACGCUGAUGGACGAAAGCGUGGGGAGCGAACAGG